rnacentral:rRNA from 1 species
GACGAACGCUGGCGGCGUGCUUAACACAUGCAAGUCGAACGGAAAGGCCCUGCUUUUGUGGGGUGCUCGAGUGGCGAACGGGUGAGUAACACGUGAGUAACCUGCCCUUGACUUUGGGAUAACUUCAGGAAACUGGGGCUAAUACCGGAUAGGAGCUCCUGCUGCAUGGUGGGGGUUGGAAAGUUUCGGCGGUUGGGGAUGGACUCGCGGCUUAUCAGCUUGGUGGUGGGGUAGUGGCUUACCAAGGCUUUGACGGGUAGCCGGCCUGAGAGGGUGACCGGCGACAUUGGGACUGAGAGACGGCCCAGACUCCUACGGGAGACAGCAGUGGGGAAUAUUGCACAAUGGGCGGAAGCCUGAUGCAGCAACGCCGCGUGCGGGAUGACGGCCUUCGGGUUGUAAACCGCUUUCGCCUGUGACGAAGCGUGAGUGACGGUAAUGGGUAAAGAAGCACCGGCUAACUACGUG